rnacentral:rRNA from 1 species
AUGAAGAAACUACCGUACAGAAUGGCACACAAAUCUGCACGUGUCAUUGUCUGGAGCAGCAUAAUGUGUGGGCAGCUAAACAUUCCUAGACUGAAAAAGGAAAAUCAUAUACCUGUUCAGUUCACAUGUAUGUUUUCACACAAAUCACUAGCUCAUAUGCAAAUCACCAACCUGCAUGCACCGCUGCCUCUACUUCAGCCAUCAUCAGCACACAAACUUAAAACAGCACAGAAAACUAUGAUCACGAACGGCGGCAACAUGACCAAACUAACCAACCAAGCAAGAAGGAUAACUCGUGCGCACCGAUUAAUAGUUACAGUGAUAUGCAGCUAA